CCAGGUUGAUCUGAAUGAUAUAUAGCAAAGUAGAUAUAGAAAUGGUAAAAUACAGGUUUUUGGGCCCGAAAGCCCGCAAGCCCGGCCCGAAAUGAAACGGGCCGGGCCCGGGCCGGUCCCUGUUUGUGUCAAAGCGGGCCGGGUCCGGGCCCAAUGAAAAACGGGCCGGUCCCGGGCCCAGUGAAAUUAUUGUUGGACCCGGCCCGUGCC
rnacentral:lncRNA from 1 species